UACGUAGGGUGCGAGCGUUGUCCGGAAUUAUUGGGCGUAAAGGGCUCGUAGGCGGUUUGUCACGUCAGGAGUGAAAACUCGGGGCUUAACCCCGAGCCUGCUUCUGAUACGGGCAGACUAGAGGUAUGCAGGGGAGAACGGAAUUCCUGGUGUAGCGGUGAAAUGCGCAGAUAUCAGGAGGAACACCGGUGGCGAAGGCGGUUCUCUGGGCAUUACCUGACGCUGAGGAGCGAAAGCGUGGGGAGCAAACGGG
rnacentral:rRNA from 1 species